rnacentral:rRNA from 1 species
UACGUAGGGUGCAAGCGUUGUCCGGAUUUAUUGGGCGUAAAGCGUCCGUAGGCGGUUUUGAAAGUCUGGUGUUAAAGGCUGGAGCUCAACUCCAGUAGGGCAUUGGAAACUACUUAACUAGAGUGCAAUAGGGGAAGCUGGAAUUUCCGGUGUAGCGGUGAAAUGCGUAGAUAUCGGAAGGAACACCAGUGGCGAAAGCGGGCUUCUGGAUUGCAACUGACGCUGAUGGACGAAAGCUAGGGGAGCGAAAGGG